rnacentral:rRNA from 1 species
AUUGAACGCUGGCGGCAGGCCUAACACAUGCAAGUCGAACGAGUGGCGGACGGGUGAGUAAUGUCUGGGAAACUGCCCGAUGGAGGGGUAUCACUACUGGAAACGGUAGCUAAUCCCGCAUCCCCUCGGAUGUGCCCAGAUGGGAUUAGCUAGUAGGUGGGGUAACGGCUCACCUAGGCGACGAUCCCUAGCUGGUCUGAGAGGAUGACCAGCCACACUGGAACUGAGACACGGUCCAGACUCCUACGGGAGGCAGCAGUGGGGAAUAUUGCGCAAUGGGCGCAAGCCUGAUGGAGCCAUGCCGCGUGUAUGAAGAAGGCCUUCGGAUUGUAAAGUACUGUCAGCAAGGAGGCGUUACUCGCAGAAGAAGCAACGGCUAACUCCGUGCCAGCAGCCGCGGUAAUAC